UACGAAGGGGGCUAGCGUUGUCCGGAUUUAUUGGGUUUAAAGGGUACGUAGGCGGAGGCUUAAGUCAGUGGUGAAAGCCUGCGGCUCAACCGUAGGAUUGCCAUUGAUACUGAGUUUCUUGAGUGCGGUAGAGGUGGGCAGAAUUCAUGGUGUAGCGGUGAAAUGCAUAGAUACCAUGAGGAAUACCGAUAGGGAAGCCAGCUCACUAGACCGUAACUGACGCUGAGGUACGAAAGCAUGGGGAGCAAACAGG
rnacentral:misc_RNA from 1 species